rnacentral:rRNA from 1 species
CACCCCUUCCCAUCCCGAACAGGACCGUGAAACGACUUUGCGCCGAUGAUAGUGCUGCAACCAGUGUGAAAGUAGGUUAUCGUCAGGC